rnacentral:rRNA from 1 species
GACGAACGCUGGCGGCGUGCCUAAUACAUGCAAGUAGAACGCUGAAGGAGGAGCUUGCUUCUCUGGAUGAGUUGCGAACGGGUGAGUAACGCGUAGGUAACCUGCCUGGUAGCGGGGGAUAACUAUUGGAAACGAUAGCUAAUACCGCAUAAGAGUAGAUGUUGCAUGACAUUUGCUUAAAAGGUGCAAUUGCAUCACUACCAGAUGGACUGCGUGUAUUAGCUAGUUGGUGGGGUAACGGCUCACCAAGGCGACGAUACAUAGCCGACCUGAGAGGGUGAUCGGCCACACUGGGACUGAGACACGGCCCAGACUCCUACGGGAGGCAGCAGUAGGGAAUCUUCGGCAAUGGACGGAAGUCUGACCGAGCAACGCCGCGUGAGUGAAGAAGGUUUUCGGAUCGUAAAGCUCUGUUGUAAGAGAAGAACGAGUGUGAGAGUGGAAAGUUCA